rnacentral:rRNA from 1 species
GGCGGCGUGCUUAACACAUGCAAGUCGAACGAAGAGCGAUGGAAGCUUGCUUCUAUCAAUCUUAGUGGCGAACGGGUGAGUAACGCGUAAUCAACCUGCCCUUCAGAGGGGGACAACAGUUGGAAACGACUGCUAAUACCGCAUACGAUCUAACCUCGGCAUCGAGGAUAGAUGAAAGGUGGCCUCUACAUGUAAGCUAUCACUGAAGGAGGGGAUUGCGUCUGAUUAGCUAGUUGGAGGGGUAACGGCCCACCAAGGCGAUGAUCAGUAGCCGGUCUGAGAGGAUGAACGGCCACAUUGGGACUGAGACACGGCCCAGACUCCUACGGGAGGCAGCAGUGGGGAAUCUUCCGCAAUGGACGAAAGUCUGACGGAGCAACGCCGCGUGAGUGAUGACGGCCUUCGGGUUGUAAAGCUCUGUUAAUCGGGACGAAAGGCCUUUUUGCGAAUAGUGAGAAGGAUUGACGGUACCGGAAUAGAAAGCCACGGCUAACUACGUG